CCCUUAGAUGUUCUGGGCUGCACACGUGCUACACUGGCAGGUUCAGCGAGCUUCAUGCCCUGAUCUGAAAGGAAUGGGAAAUCUUUUCAAAACCUGCCGUGCUUGGGAUAGAUGUUUGCAAUUAUUCAUCUUCAACGAGGAUUGCCUUGUAAGCGCACGUCAUCAGCGUGCAUUGAAUACGACCCUGUAUUCUGUACACCCCGCCCGUCGCUCCUACCGAUUGAAGUUUUCGGUGAGUUGACAGGAGGAUUUUUUUGAAACUGGUUCGCCAGUGGAUUUUAGAUCCAAAUGCCAACGAAUCGAUGGCUUUAGAGGAAGGAGAAGUCGUAACA
rnacentral:rRNA from 1 species